GACGAACGCUGGCGGCGUGCUUAACACAUGCAAGUCGAACGGAAAGGCCCUGCUUUUGUGGGGUGCUCGAGUGGCGAACGGGUGAGUAACACGUGAGUAACCUGCCCUUGACUUUGGGAUAACUUCAGGAAACUGGGGCUAAUACCGGAUAGGAGCUCCUGCUGCAUGGUGGGGGUUGGAAAGUUUCGGCGGUUGGGGAUGGACUCGCGGCUUAUCAGCUUGUUGGUGGGGUAGUGGCUUACCAAGGCCUUGACGGGUAGCCGGCCUGAGAGGGUGACCGGCCACAUUGGGACUGAGAUACGGCCCAGACUCCUACGGGAGGCAGCAGUGGGGAAUAUUGCACAAUGGGCGGAAGCCUGAUGCAGCAACGCCGCGUGCGGGAUGACGGCCUUCGGGUUGUAAACCGCUUUCGCCUGUGACGAAGCGUGAGUGACGGUAAUGGGUAAAGAAGUACCGGCUAACUACGUG
rnacentral:rRNA from 1 species